rnacentral:rRNA from 1 species
CGCGGCCUAUCAGCUUGUUGGUGAGGUAAAAGCUCACCAAGGCAUCGAUGGGUAGCUGGUCUGAGAGGAUGAUCAGCCACACUGGAACUGAGAUACGGUCCAGACUCCUACGGGAGGCAGCAGUCGGGAAUCUUGCACAAUGGGCGAAAGCCUGAUGCAGCAACGCCGCGUGAGGGAUGAAGGCCCUCGGGUCGUAAACCUCUGUCGGGAGGGAAGAAAGUAUUCCGGGUGAAUACCCCGGAGUAUCGACGGUACCUUCAAAGGAAGCGCCGGCUAACUCCGUGCCAGCAGCCGCGGUAAUACGGAGGGCGCGAGCGUUAUUCGGAAUCAUUGGGCGUAAAGCGCGUGUAGGCGGCUGGGCAAGUCGGAUGUGAAAGCCCGGGGCUCAACCCCGGAAUUGCAUUCGAAACUGCUCAACUAGAGUCUCGGAGAGGAGGGCGGAAUUCCCGGUGUAGAGGUGAAAUUCGUAGAUAUCGGGAGGAACACCAGUGGCGAAGGCGGCCCUCUGGACGAUGACUGACGCUGAGACGCGAAAGCGUGGGGAGCAAACAGGAUUAGAUACCCUGGUAGUCCACGCCGUAAACGUUGGGUGCUAGGUGUCGCGGGUAUUGACCCCUGCGGUGCCGUCGUUAACGCAUUUAGCACCCCGCCUGGGGAGUACGG